rnacentral:rRNA from 1 species
AUGGAGUCUGCUAAAGAGUGGUGGAGCCUUAAUGCAACCACCAAGACGCAGUUCCGACGACCACUCAUCUCCCUAAUGCUUCUCAUCUCAUGGGAAAUAUGGAAGGAACGCAAUGCCAGGGUCUUCCGAAACGUUGCUGUGCCAGUUGGAGUAAUCGUAGCUAAGAUUAAAGAGGAAUGUAGUCUAUGGGGUCUUGCUGGGGCAAAGUAUUUGCGUACUCUAAUGCCGCAAGAGUGA